rnacentral:rRNA from 1 species
CCAAUAGCGUAUAUUAAAGUUGUUGCAGUUAAAAGGCUCGUAGUUGAAUUUCGGGGUUCUACCGUUGGUCGGGCAAUAGUCUGUACUGGCGUGUAGAAUUUCUACCUUCUGGGGAACCAUCAUGUUAUUUAUUUAGCGUGGUGGGAAACCAGGACCUUUACCUUGAAAAAAUUAGAGUGUUCAAAGCAGGCUUACGUCUGAAUACAUUAGCAUGGAAUAAUAAAAUAGGACGGUGGUCCUGUUUUGUUGGUUUCUGAAUCACCGUAAUGAUUAAUAGGGAUAGUUGGGGGCAUUAGUAUUCAAUUGUCAGAGGUGAAAUUCUUGGAUUUAUUGAAGACUAACUUCUGCGAAAGCAUUUGCCAAGGAUGUUUUCAUUAAUCAAGAACGAAAGUUAGGGGAUCGAAGACGAUCAGAUACCGUCGUAGUCUUAACCAUAAACUAUGCCGACUAGGGAUCGGACGAUGUUAAUUUUUCUUGACUCGUUCGGCGCCUUACG